CCUACGGGAGGCAGCAGUAGGGAAUAUUGCUCAAUGGGGGAAACUCUGAAGCAGCAACGCCGCGUGGAGGAUGAAGGUUUUCGGAUUGUAAACUCCUUUUGUUAGAGACGAUAAUGACGGUAUCUAACGAAUAAGCACCGGCUAACUCCGUGCCAGCAGCCGCGGUAAUACGGAGGGUGCAAGCGUUACUCGGAAUCACAGGGCGUAAAGAGCGCGUAGGCGGGAUAGCAAGUCAGAUGUGAAAUCCUAUGGCUUAACCAUAGAACUGCAUUUGAAACUGUUAUUCUAGAGUAUGGGAGAGGUAGGUGGAAUUCUUGGUGUAGGGGUAAAAUCCGUAGAGAUCAAGAGGAAUACUCAUUGCGAAGGCGACCUGCUAGAACAUAACUGACGCUGAUGCGCGAAAGCGUGGGGAGCAAACAGGAUUAGAUACCCUAGUAGUC
rnacentral:rRNA from 1 species